rnacentral:rRNA from 1 species
AUUGAACGCUGGCGGCAUGCCUUACACAUGCAAGUCGAACGGCAGCGCGGGACCAAUCCUGGCUGCGCGUGGCGAACGGGUGUGUAAUACAUCGGAACGUGCCCAACCGUGGGGGAUAACGCAUCGAAAGCUGUGCUACUACUGCCUACGAUCUACUGCUGAAACCAGGGGAUCGCUAGACCUUUCCCGCAUGUGGCGGCCGAUGGCAGAUUUGUUAGCUGGUUAGGUAAAGGCUCACCAAGCCUGCGAUCUGUAGCUGGUCUGAGAGGACGACCAGCCACACUGGAAGUGAGACACGGCCCAGACUCCUAAGGGAGGCAGCAGUGGGGUAUGUUGGACAACGGGCGAAAGCCUGAUCCAGCCAUGCCGCGUGUAGGAUAAAAACCUUCGGGUUGUAAACUGCUUUUGUGCGGAACGAAACGGUCUUUUCUGAUAAAGAGGGUUAAUGACGGUAACGUAAAAAUAAGCACCGGCUAACUACGUG